AUAUAUCCAAGGUUUCCAGAGUAAAGCUGAUCUGCUCUGGGUAAGUCGGGGCCUAAGGCGAGGACGAGAGUCGUAGCCGAUGGACAACAGGUGGAGAUUCCUGUACUGCGGUAUGACAGAACUGUGGGGACACGUAAGGAAAGCGGAAGCCGGGAAUGGAAAGCCCGGUGCAAGCGGGGUACCAGUCACUUUGGCAAAUCCGGGUGGCAAUGGGAAGCCGUGAUGCGGAGCGAAAUAAAAUAGCGAAGUCCGUGAGCCAUGCGUCAAGAAAAGCCGCUAUCGUUUAUACCGUACCCGUACCGUAAACCGACACAGGUGGAUGAGGAGAGAAUCCUAAGGCCGGCGGAAGAAGCAUUGUCAAGGAACUCGGCAAAAUGGCCCCGUAACUUAGGGAUAAGGGGUGCCUGGGAAACCAGGCCGCAGAGAAUAGGCUCAAGCAACUGUUUAGCAAAAACACAGGUCUAUGCGAAACCGAAAGGUGAGGUAUAUGGGCUGACGCCUGCCCGGUGCUGGAAGGUUAAGAGGAGAGGUUAGCGCAAGCGAAGCUUUGAAUUUAAGCCCCAGUAAACGGCGGCCGUAACAAUAACGGUCCUAAGGUAGCGAAAUUCCUUGUCGGGUAAGUUCCGACCCGCACGAAAGGCGUAAUGAUUUGAGCGCUGUCUCGACAAUGCAUCCGGUGAAAUUGAAGUACCAGUGAAGAUGCUGGUUACCUGCGCCAGGACGGAAAGACCCCAUGGAGCUUUACUCCAGUUUGGUACUGGGACUCGGUAUUGCAUGUACAGGAUAGGUGGGAGGCUAGGAGACAGUAACGCCAGUUAUUGUGGAGCCGCUGUUGGGAUACCACCCUUGCAGUAUUGGGUUUCUAACCAGCCGCCGUGACCCGGCGGUGGGACAAUGCCAGACGGGGAGUUUGACUGGGGCGGUCGCCUCCGAAAGGGUAUCGGAGGCGCCUAAAGGUUCCCUCAGAAUGGACGGAAACCAUUCGAAGAGUGCAAAGGCAGAAGGGAGCUUGACUGCGACACCGACGGGUGGAGCAGGUACGAAAGUAGGGCUUAGUGAUCCGGUGGUAUUAAGUGGGAAUGCCAUCGCUCAACGGAUAAAAGCUACCCCUGGGAUAACAGGCUUAUCACUCCCAAGAGUUCACAUCGACGGAGUGGUUUGGCACCUCGAUGUCGGCUCAUCGCAUCCUGGGGCUGUAGUAGGUCCCAAGGGUUGGGCUGUUCGCCCAUUAAAGCGGUACGCGAGCUGGGUUCAGAACGUCGUGAGACAGUUCGGUCCCUAUCCGGCGUGGGCGUAGGAUAUCUGAGAGGAGCUGUCCUUAGUACGAGAGGACCGGGAUGGACGGGCCGCUGGUGCAUCGGUUAGACUGCCAAGUCUACGGCCGAGUAGCCAAGCCCGGAAGGGAUAAACGCUGAAGGCAUCUAAGCGUGAAGCCCCCCUUAAGAUGAGAUAUCCCAUUCGAAAGAAGUAAACCCCCUUGAAGACGACGAGGUAGAUAGGGCAGAGGUGGAAGUGUGGCAACACAUGGAGCUGACUGUUACUAAUCGGGUGAGGGCUUGACC
rnacentral:rRNA from 1 species